rnacentral:rRNA from 1 species
UACAGAGGUGGCAAGCGUUGUUCGGAAUUACUGGGCGUAAAGGGUGUGUAGGCGGUUAUUUAAGUUUGGUGUGAAAUCUCCCGGCUCAACUGGGAGGGUGCGCCGAAUACUGAAUGACUUGGAGUGCGGGAGAGGUGAGUGGAAUUCCUGGUGUAGCGGUGAAAUGCGUAGAUAUCAGGAGGAACACCGGUGGUGUAGACGGCUCACUGGACCGUAACUGACGCUGAGACACGAAAGCGUGGGUAGCAAACAGG